AGGCGAGCUAAUUAAAUAAGGGGUUCCUGAUCAGUUUCAGGGCUCAAGUUGUGCUGCAUGCAUAUAUAUAUAUAUAUAUGCAUGGUAUAAGACGGCCUCGCUUUUGUUUAGGAAUUCCUUCAAGUUGUUGAUCAAAUAUUCAGCAGGCCAGAUUCAUCUAUCUAAUUUUACCAAUGGCGGCCUGCACAAGGUGGAAAGUUUUCUUUCCAGUACUAAUUUUGUGCGUCUCCCUGCUGGGUAUGGCUGUGUCUGUGCGUGGAGAUGCAGCACUAAUACAAGAUGUGUGCAGCAAAACUUCGAGGCCUUUCUAUUGCAAAACGUGCUAUGAAUUAAACAGAAAAAGCUCACAAGAUCAGAAUGUGAAAGACCUUGGACGCACAUCCAUUGGGUGUGCUUCCUUAGAGUUUGAAAUAUUCCGAUCCACUUUACGUUCGCUUAUGAUUAAUCCCAAAAACCUGGGGCCGGGGUUACAGGACGCAUGCAAUCAUUGCAUUUCCUUGCUGGAGGAUGUGGAUAAAAAACUCCAGAACGCACUGCUGAAAUGGCAGCACGCAAGUUAUGAUAGCUCUAGCUUGCAGAUGUUCAUUGCUGCCAACAUUCUCGAUGAUUCAUGUGGCCGUGAGAUGAAGAAGUUCAAUCUCCCCAUGUCUCUAGCAGACAAGCUAGUUGCACUGGACGGUUUCAUUCAGGCCUCCAUUGGAGUCCUCGAUCAAAUUCAAUGAUUUGAUCAUGUAUAUAUAUAUACAUGUGCACCACCAAAAAAACCUGCUUCUUAUAUAGAUAGUCAUAUAAUUUUAUUCUCAAUCGAUCUGCAAUAAACGAAAGUAUUGUCCUUAA